UUUUGUUUUGUUUUGUUUUGUAUUGAAACAGGGUUUCUCUGUGAAACAGUCCUGGCUGUCCUGGAAUUCACUCUGUAGACAAGGCUGGCCUGGAAUUCACAGAGGUCUGCCUGCCUCUGCCUCACAAGGGUUGGAAUUAAAGGCAUGUGCCACCGCCACCUGGCUCCAGAUUUCUUUUUUCAACUCAUCACUGUGUUUCUGCCUAAAAGACCCAUCACAAGAAAUAGAUUAUCAUAGAAAAGGAGCAACAUUUACUUAAUGGAGCAUCGACAAGAAUUCACGAAGCAAAAAUGCGGCCGAAAGGGCUCCAGAAGCACUGGGAAAGAGCCAGGUUGGAUAGAAGGCUUUGCCUGCCACGCUGGCCCAAUGGCAGGUCCAGAAACAGGCCCCGCAUUCCACAGUUCCUCCGUUGACUCCAGGCUCACACUUUUUCCACUGCGCCAUGCUUGUCCAGUUAGAAGAUGA
rnacentral:lncRNA from 1 species